GAUGAGCUUUAUCCGGGAGAAUUUAGUGAUUUGAGUAUAUGUAACUUAUACUCUGAGGAAACUUGUAAGCCAGUCUAUCCAAGAUUGAAUGAUCAGAAAUCUGAAAUGCCAGCUGCACGAUUUAACCAGCAGCCAGAUCAUGAUGUUUUGCAGGUUUAUCUAACAACAUGGCUUGCAGAGGUGAACAUAGAUUCUGAAAGGGUGGAUGAAAUAUUUGUGGAAGUUGGCGAUGAAAUGCAUGUUACGAUUUCGUGAGUUGCUGGCCUG